rnacentral:rRNA from 1 species
GAUGAACGCUGGCGGCGUGCCUAAUACAUGCAAGUCGAGCGAACAGAUAAGGAGCUUGCUCCUUUGAAGUUAGCGGCGGACGGGUGAGUAACACGUGGGUAACCUACCUAUAAGACUGGGAUAACUUCGGGAAACCGGAGCUAAUACCGGAUAACAUUUAGAACCGCAUGGUUCUAAAGUAAAAGAUGGUUUUGCUAUCACUUAUAGAUGGACCCGCGCCGUAUUAGCUAGUUGGUAAGGUAACGGCUUACCAAGGCGACGAUACGUAGCCGACCUGAGAGGGUGAUCGGCCACACUGGAACUGAGACACGGUCCAGACUCCUACGGGAGGCAGCAGUAGGGAAUCUUCCGCAAUGGGCGAAAGCCUGACGGAGCAACGCCGCGUGAGUGAUGAAGGGUUUCGGCUCGUAAAACUCUGUUAUUAGGGAAGAACAAAUGUGUAAGUAACUGUGCACAUCUUGACGGUACCUAAUCAGAAAGCCACGGCUAACUACGUG